rnacentral:sRNA from 1 species
GAGAUCCUGAGACCAACCGAGGACGGCCUCCGUUAACGAAUCCAGGUCUGGAACAGGAAACGAUCAGUC